UACGGGGGGGGCAAGCGUUGUUCGGAAUUACUGGGCGUAAAGGGCUCGUAGGCGGCCAACUAAGUCAUACGUGAAAUCCCUCGGCUUAACCGGGGAACUGCGUCUGAUACUGGAUGGCUUGAGUUCGGGAGAGGGAUGCGGAAUUCCAGGUGUAGCGGUGAAAUGCGUAGAUAUCUGGAGGAACACCGGUGGCGAAGGCGGGUCUCUGGGCCGAUAUUGACGCUGAGGAGCGAAAGCGUGGGGAGCAAACAGG
rnacentral:rRNA from 1 species